CCUACGGGUGGCAGCAGUGAGGCAUAUUGGUCAAUGGGCGGAAGCCUGAACCAGCCAAGUCGCGUGAGGGCAUAAGGCCCUACGGGUCGUAAACCUCUUUUGCCGGGGAGCAAGGGCGGUGACGUGUCCCGGCACGGAGAGUACCCGGAGAAAAAGCAUCGGCUAACACCGUGCCAGCAGCCGCGGUACUACGGAGGUUGCGAGCGUUAGCCGGUGUUAUUGGGUUUAAAGGGUGCGUGGGCGGGCUUUGAAGUCAGUGGUAAAAUGUCGGGGCUCAACCCCGUCCGGCCGUUGAAACUGGGGGCCUUGAGUGGGCGAGAAGAAGGCGGAAUGCGUGGUGUAGCGGUGAAAUGCAUAGAUAGCACGCAGAACCCCGAUUGCGAAGGCAGCCUUCCGGCGCCCUACUGACGCUGAGGCACGAAAGUGCGGGGAUCGAACAGGAUUAGAUACCCGAGUAGUC
rnacentral:rRNA from 1 species